CAGGCGCUGCUUACCAUGCAAGUCGAACGGAGAUUCAGCAAUGGAUCUUAGUGGCGAACGGGUGAGUAACGCGUAGGCAAUCUGCCUUCUAGAUGGGGACAACAUCCCGAAAGGGGUGCUAAUACCGAAUGUUGUAGUUGGUUCGCAUGGACUAGCUACUAAAGGUGGCCUCUGAAUAUGCUACCGCUAGAAGAUGAGCCUGCGUCUGAUUAGCUAGUUGGAGGGGUAACGGCCCACCAAGGCUUCGAUCAGUAGCCGGUCUGAGAGGAUGAACGGCCACACUGGGACUGAGACACGGCCCAGACUCCUACGGGAGGCAGCAGUGGGGAAUCUUCCGCAAUGGACGAAAGUCUGACGGAGCAACGCCGCGUGAGUGAAGAAGGUUUUCGGAUCGUAAAGCUCUUUCGUUAGGGACGAACGUGCUCUUUGUGAAUAAUGAGGAGUAAUGACGGUACCUAAAUAAGAAGCCACGGCUAACUACGUGCCAGCAGCCGCGGUAAUACGUAGGUGGCAAGCGUUGUCCGGAAUUAUUGGGCGUAAAGCGCGCGCAGGCGGGAUAUCAAGUCUGUCUUAAAAGUGCGAGGCUCAACCUCGUGAGGGGACGGAAACUGGUAUUCUUGAGUGUCGGAGAGGAAAGUGGAAUUCCAAGUGUAGCGGUGAAAUGCGUAGAGAUUUGGAAGAACACCAGUGGCGAAGGCGACUUUCUGGACGAUGUCUGACGCUGAGGCGCGAAAGCUAGGGGAGCGAACGGGAUUAGAUACCCCGGUAGUCCUAGCCGUAAACGAUGGGUACUAGGUGUAGGGGGUAUCGACCCCUCCUG
rnacentral:rRNA from 1 species